GGUGGUUCUUGGGUGACACACCCCAGAACCAGAGAGGAGGGAGCCUGAUUCUGGGGUGUGUCACCUGAGAACCGCC
rfam:Myotis brandtii contig221890, whole genome shotgun sequence.